GUCGAGAGGCUUCGGCAAUGGGGGAAACCCUGACCGAGCGACGCCGCGUGGGCGAUGAAGGCCGUUAGGUUGUAAAGCCCUGUCGAGCGGGAAAAACUGUAGGCGGGUGAACAAUCCGUCUACUUGAUGGUACCGUUAAAGGAAGCUCCGGCCAACUCCGUGCCAGCAGCCGCGGUAAUACGGGGGGAGCGAACGUUGUUCGGAAUUACUGGGCGUAAAGGGCGUGCAGGCGGUCCUGUAAGAGAGUUGUGAAAUGCCCUGGCUCAACCAGGGACAUGCACCUCUGACUGCAGGACUUGAGUAUGGGAGAGGAUGGGGGAAUUCCCGGUGUAGCGGUGAAAUGCAUUGAUAUCGGGAGGAACACCAGUGGCGAAGGCGCCCAUCUGGCCUAAUACUGACGCUCAGGCGCGAAAGCUAGGGGAGCAAACAGGAUUAGAAACCCGAGUAGUCC
rnacentral:rRNA from 1 species